rnacentral:tRNA from 1 species
GCCCAAGUAGCUCAGCUGGUAGAGCAGCUCCAUGGUAAGGAGCAGGUCAGCGGUUCAAAUCCGCUCUUGGGCUCCA